rnacentral:sRNA from 1 species
AUAAUUAAAUGGUGGUGCAGUAUUCUAGUCAGAUUCCACCGACUCGGAGGCGGGGGUAAAAUAUCGCCGAAGGGCAUAUCGAUGAAGUUUCUGGUGACGGCUUCUUUUGCCCAAAUUGGGGCUGUUGCUGGGAGUUAAGGUUUUUGGGCGGCUUGCAACGGCAUGCAAACCCCGUACCAAUUUCCGUGGAGACCCAACUCGGUGGGCAAUGUAAAAACUGCCUACUGACUGGGGUGAAACCUGAUAUGCGGUGUGAAAAUGCUGUGUACAGUGUAGCCUGCUUUGAGUGACGUAUAGGGAUUAGGGAACCACGCCUUUUCGUAUGGCCAAUACGCGACGGUGAUUGCCCAAUGAAAUAUACGCUGCAAAAAAAGAUAAGGGCGGGCGGAAUCUGUCAAGGAAAUCUUCUAGACUGUUCUUUGAGGCAAUCUGGGGAUUAUAGUGUGCUCUAAGUGGCGAUUCGGUUUCUUCUUGAAGACGAUGCGACGAGUAAUAGGAAACUUCUCGGACGGUGACGACGAGUUUCGGCGCAGGGAAAUCCUACCGAACCUAUGGCGCAAGGUUUACCCAAAUUGUCACCACCAUCCAA